UGCGACUUAAAACAUUUGGGGGUAUCUGGCAUCCUGUACCCACAUUAAAGGAAGGGGAGACAGUGGGUCAUUUCGUCAGCAUUUGAGUCAGACAGACCUAUUUUUUUUUUCAGACAGACCUAUUUUUGAAUCCUAUUUUUGCCACUAAACCUGAGUGCUCUCAAGCUAAUUAUCUCUCUGACUCUCUGUUUUUUUACAUGUACAGUCAGGAUUCCCCUGUCUAUUUUUUGUUAACUUUUAAAAAAAAAAAGGUAGUAUGAAACAAAUGCUUAGCAUAGUAUCUUACACCUAGUAGCUGCAAAAUAAAUGGCAACUAAUAGAACAAUAACAAUUAUAAUAAUUGCCCUUUCACACCUCCAACCCUCAAUUUCUACCUCUACAAGAUGAAUUAUUAUGAGGAUUAAGGGAUUGUGUAGAGGGUGGUUUAUGGUAGGUACUCUCAUAUUCUAGUUCCCACCCUUAGGAGAAACUCUAGGGAAGAGGACCUGGAUCAGCAGAUCAUGCUGAGAAGUGGGGCUGGAGCGAGGAGGCUGUUCCUGCCUGGAGGAGAUCUAUGGAGGUAAGUCCCCCCACCCCCAGUGUGGAGGAUCAAACCCUGGGUCUUGUGAUGGUGGGCAAGUGCUCUACCACUGAACUAAACUCUACUCCCACCCCUGGAUGUAACUUUGGUGAGUAGAUGUGUUGAGGGAUUGGGGAACCCAUGGACUAGGUCCUGCUUCUACGGAUAAGGUGGCGAGUGGCAGGACAUAGUGAAGACUGAGAGGAGUGGCUACAAUGAGGGCCUCCCUGAGUGCUCAGGGGCUCAGAGGCCUUCUGUCCUCAGAGGGUUCUAGACCUAGGAUUCCUCUGCUGCAGUUGUUCUUAAUCCUUGGGUUCACAGACCAGGGUACAUGAAUACAGAGAUGAAUGGUGUGACUCUACCUUGUAUACAACCGGAGAAAUGAAAAAUUGUGCUCCAUUUGUGUACUAUGAAUUAAGAUGCAUUCUGAAGUCAUGUAUAACAAAUUAGAACAAACAAACAAAAAAAGUUAGUGAAAACUAAGAACCAUUUCAUAGAAAAAUACACAUGAUAGCCAGGCUUGGUGGCACAAAUCUAUAAUCCCAGAAACACAGGAGGCUGAGGUGGGAGGAUCACAAGUUUGAGUCCAGCGUCAGCAACUUAGUGAGGCCCUAAGCAACUUAGUAAGAUCUUGUAUCAAAAUAAAAAAUAAAAAAGGGGGGCUAGGGUUGUGGGUCAGUGGUAGAGUACUUGCCUAGCAUGUGUGAGCCCUGGGUUCAAUCCUUAGCACCACAUAAAAAUGAAUGAAUAUAAUAAAGCUAAAUAAAUAAAAAGGGAUGGAGAUAUAGCUUAGUGAUAAAGCAUCCCUGGGUUCAAAUCCUUGUACCAAAAAAAAAAAAGAAAGAAAAGAAAAAAAAUAUACAUAAAUUUUUGCAUGUUAGGAGAGUAGUUCACAGAUCUCCUGAAACUCAUCCAGGGAUUUUUAAAUGAAGAAACUUUGUCCCUAGGUUCAGAAGGGAUAACUCUAAUACUUUGAGUUUGGGACAAGCUAGGACUUUUCCUAGCAGGAGUACUUAAAAUGGAGGAACAGCCACUAGAUCUAAUCAUGGUAUGGUAUAGAGGCAGGGGUCCUGACUCAGAAGCUGACAAAGGAUGGUCAGUUUGUCUGGUAAGGAUGUUGUCAUAGCCUACAACAUCCUUCUGUCUCAAUUCAGCAGACAUCGGCUGGGGAGAAGUAGUGAUCUAGUGAUAGGUGAAGCAAUUGGAGUCCUCACUUAUGUGCAGAGUUUGGCAAUAGUCUGAGAAUCCAGCAUUGUAUCAGUCAGCUUUUCAUCACUAUAAGAAAAUUCCUGAGGCUACUAACUUUGUAAAGAGAAAAUGUUUAUGUAGAUGGAAGUUCUGGAGAUUCAAAGGCAUAACACUCACAGCAGCUCAGUUCUGGUGAGGGCCUCCUGGUGAAUGGUGGAUGGCAAUGAAGCGAACACAUCUCUAGUCAGAAGCAGAAAGCUGGGUGGGAGUCAGGCUUGCUCCUUUUAUAACAACUCUCUCUGGGAGAGCUACCAAAGGGGUCACAGAACUACGAAGGGGUCACAUGUGAAAUACCUUAUGCCCCCUGUGACUUAAGGACCUCCCACUAGGCUCUACCUCUUAAAGGUCCACCUCCCAAUAGUGCCACCCUUUAACACGUGAACCUUUGGGUGGGGACACAAUUAGAUCAUAACCAUGUGAUCUAAACCAUAUCUAAACUAUAGCAAGCAUAAAUGAGUUUGUCUUAAGGGGGGAAAUAGCUCAUAUUUAUUAAACACUUACUACAUGCCAGUUAAAUAGCUAAGUGAAUUACAUUAAUCUAAUUUAACUCCCAUUGACAGAUGUGGAAACAGAGGCUUAGGGUAAUUAAGUAACUUUCCAAGGUCACUCAGCUUGCAAAUGGUGAAGCUAAAAUUAAAAUUAUGGCCAUCUUAUAUUAGCCUGUCUUUGUCUGUCUGUCUUUGUCUCUCUCUCUUCCUCCUUCUUUCUCUCUGGUACUUUGCCACUGAGCUACAUCCCCAGUCCUUUUUAUUUUUUAUUGUGAGACAGGGUUUUCCUAAGUUGCUUAGGACCUCACUAAGUUGCUGAGGCUGGCCUUGAACUUGUCAUCUUUUUGCUUCAGGCUCCUGAAUCACUGGGAUUAAAGGCAUGUGCCACUGCACCCAGUUCACUAGUCUGACUCUUGACAAGGCAAUAAAGAGUGCCUGAGAGGUUGGAAAUACAUGCCUGGAGCCCACUGGCAAAUUUGGAUUAAUUGGAGCAGCGGCCAAAGGAGAGCAACUAGGGAUUUAGAGAGAUACUGGAACAGAAAUUUGGGGCUGGAAGUCAAGCCACAGCCCCAUUAUCAAAAUGAAGCAUCUCCCAGGCUCUGGGUUGCAGUGGGAAAUGGAUUGGUCUGAGAUAUGAGCAGCCGGGUGAUGUUGUCUGUGAGCAGAACUUGAGUCCAGGCUUGUCUAGGCAGUACCUGGUAUGCCACACUGGAACAGGAAGUCCUUGGGCUCUUUCUUUUUCUUCUCAGCAGGGAAAGGACUGGCUCCCUUGAGGAUGAGGGAGGAGCGGCAGUUUCACUGUAGGACUGAAGUUGAUUGUCCCAGGUCAACCAGGCUCCAGCUCUGGGAGGACAGGGCCUCUUAGGGUCCCAGGCAGCACCUGUCACAGUCCACACAUGUGCCCACUUCAUGCCUGUGAUUGAAUGUUGAUGGCUGAGCUCAUCCCUCACAACCCCUUGAUAAAAUCUAAGGGCACUUUCUAAAAUAGCUCCUCAGAGCCCAGAGGUUCUAAGCUAUGCCGUUUUCAGUCAGCGUGGACUCUGAAAAGCCUAUUCUCUUGCAAGCCAAAGAAACAGCCGGUUCAUCUCUCUCUCAAUGGACAGAAGAAGAACUCCACGGUUUACACAUCCUCCU
rnacentral:lncRNA from 1 species